UAACUGGGGUCGACUGUGCUGUGGGCAAA
rnacentral:piRNA from 1 species